GACGAACCGUGCGAACGUUAUUCGGAAUCACUGGGCUUAAAGCGCGUGUAGGCGGGAGGGCACGUCCGACGCUGAAAUCCCCCGGCUCAACCGGGGAACGGGCGCGGAUACGACCUUCCUGGAGGGACGUAGGGGGACCUGGAACUUCCGGUGGAGCGGUGAAAUGCGUUGAGAUCGGAAGGAACGCCCGUGGCGAAAGCGAGGUCCUGGACGUCUGCUGACGCUGAGACGCGAAAGCCAGGGGAGCGAACGGG
rnacentral:rRNA from 1 species